CGACGGCGACUGGCGGCGGCGCCGGUGAACUUCACUGUUGGACAGCAGCCUGCAAAGGAGCAGCGCCAAGAUUCCGGCCAGACCGGAACCAAGCAUGAAGAAGAUCGACACCUUGGCGUAUGAAUACUGACCACCCAAUUUCUCUGUCUUGUGAUAGAUUCCAAGGAGAUCUCCAAUAAAACCAGAGAAUGAUGUGGUCACCAAAGAUAAGUGAAAGACACCAACAAGGAUGGAAGGGACCAAUGAAAUGGGCAGGAAGUAAUAAGCCUUAGGAAGCAGAGAACAAGUGAUGGAAAUAAAUGACAAAAUAAGGGAGGAUAUGGAGGUAGCCAAGAGGACUAUGGAAAGUUUCAGCUGGUUGAUGGCGCUGAUGAUGUGCUCUGGCUUGAUUGUCAUCAACUUCAGGGUGUGGAACAUGAGGGAAAUUGCGGUGACAAAGGCUGUGAAUGCAAAGGAGGAGGCGAAUUUCAGUCCGAGUGGAAGUUUGAGUGCAUCUCCACGAAGAAAUAGAAUGUCAAUCAGGGGGACUGUAGAGAUUGUGACGAGGAGCAAUGCAAAUUUCAGAUUCUUGGGGGCAAAUGAAAGAAGCAAAAAAAGAAAAAAAAAUUGGCGAGCUGUACCGAUGUGAGAAGCUGAAAUGGAGGGGAUUUAUUUUCUUACUUGAGGAGGGUGAAGUAGUUCUCCUCCGAGAGGCAGCUCCCUUUCGUCGUCGUCUCCGGCAGCCACCGCAGCUUGAGCAGGAACACCCUUGACGACGUGCGCUGACUUCGGUGCCUUCACCAUGGCGUUCUUCUUCUUGUGCUAGUUCAUCACUUCAUCGUACGUCCUGUUUUAUCCAGCAAAAAGGAAGUGAUCGUGCUACUUGGAGAAAUUCCAUAUGAAGAAGAAGGAGGCCAUAAUCAAAGUCGUCGUUGCCGAUAGAAUUGGGGAGGAGGAGGAGGAGAGGCUAGGUCUACGAGAAGAGGAGAGAGGAAAUGAGCUGGAAGCUAGCUAGGGAGAGACCCAUGCAUACUGGGGGAGGGGCCGGGUGCGGGUAGCGUAUGUGUCACGCGUACUCACCGAACUUUUUCUUAGCCUCCAAGUAUGCUAUGCUGUCAUUUACACUACACAGCUGCUCACACAUGUUCAUCGAUCUCA